UACUAUGACCUUAAAAUAUGAAGUGAAAUUGAGUUUUCCUUGGGGCACAUUGAGAAGGGGGUGUUUAAUUGCCUUGGUCACCCCCACUGUCACGAUGUGUGUCUGCAAAUCGGCUGAGGGUGCCAGAGGUUGUGUUUUCACCAGGUCCCUGAGGUCUGAGGGGGCUUUCAGGGGUCGAGGGGAGAAAGCCCCACAGCUGAGGGUGUAGCUUGAGCAAUCUCUCAAGGCAGGAAAUACCUGUGGCUGCUGCAGGAGGAUUGAGUUGGGUGAUGUGUCUGGAGUGGGCUUUGAGAGUCGACAGGUGGAGACAGGUGAGAGGAGGUGGGUGGACAGGCCAGGAGGAGACGGAAGACUGUUUUGAAUGCUGUGGUGUGGAGUAAGAGUGAAUUACCCUUGGCUCAUUCAACAUGAUGCUGAAAAGCAAAAGAGAAGUCUUUCUGAUACGUGAACUAUAUACCUUGAGAAGAAAGGUUUAUUUCAACUGGCAAGAAAACAGAAUUCUUUUCCAAAGGAAAUAGAUGAGAGAAACUAGACUCAAUCAGGAAAUUCAUAUUCCACUCAUUUAGUCAUCAAAUAUUUAUCAAGUGUCGGGCACUGUGCUCGAUGCUGCUAGCUGAAUCCCCUUUGGACAGUCCCUUGCAUUUCCAGGCUUUUCAUGUUUCCGUUUCUCUUCUUCUACCCCAACAUUAAAAGAUAAUAG